rnacentral:rRNA from 1 species
UACGUAGGGGGCAAGCGUUGUCCGGAUUUAUUGGGCGUAAAGAGCGUGUAGGCGGCCUGGAAGGUCAGCUGUGAAAACUCGAGGCUCAACCUCGAGACGUCGGUUGAACACCACGUGCUAGAGUCCGGAAGAGGAGAGUGGAAUUCCCGGUGUAGCGGUGAAAUGCGCAGAUAUCGGGAAGAACACCCGUGGCGAAGGCGGCUCUCUGGGACGGUACUGACGCUGAGACGCGAAAGCGUGGGGAGCGAACAGG